rnacentral:rRNA from 1 species
AUGGCACUACGAUUUGGCAUAUUACUUGCACAAAAGGCAGGAAGCAACUGUCUUGUUUUUAACUCCGACAAUAUGAAAGUAAUUGACACAAUGAAGAAUAGAGGACAUUUAGCGAGAGUUGCGGCUGCUGUGUUUGAUGAUUGUUGUUUUAUGGCUUGUGAUGUUCCGUUAAUUAGAUUUGAACAUUGUAACAGGGAGACAAAUAAAGUAGCUCAUGAAAUUGCUAGAUUAGCUAAAUUUUCUGAGGCAAGGGAUUGAUUCGAGGAACCAUGA